UGGGCAAAAGAAAGGAGGGAAAAAAAAUGAAGAUAUCGACGUGAGAAUGCAUCAGGAGUUUAGAGUUGAGGGUGGAAUAAUUUUUUUUUAUCAUUAUUAUUAUUAUUUUUAAGCAGGUUUUGGAGCUCGUCGAGAAAUUUUCA